rnacentral:rRNA from 1 species
UGGUAAUACCACAUAAACCAAAACAUCUUGACGGCCAAAAUCAUAUCAGAGGAACUUGUUUUAUAAUCGACAUUACACGUUAAUUUUAACUUAUAUUAAUAAAUUUUUAUACCGCCGUUAUAUUCAUAUUUAAACAUACAAAUAUAAAAAAUAAUACUUCAUUAAUCAGGUCAAGGUGAAAUCUACAAAUAAGUAAAAAUGAGUUACAUUAAAAAAAAUUUAAGGAUAUUUUUCUAAAGAAAAAUGAAAAAGGGAUUUGAAAGUAAUUUGUUCAUUAAUAAUAACAAAUGAACAUUAAAAAUGGUG